GCGGGUGUAGUUUAGUGGUAAAACUACAGCCUUCCAAGCUGUUGUCGCGAGUUCGAUUCUCGUCACUCGCU
rnacentral:tRNA from 2 species